CCCAACAAUUGACCCAUCCUCUAGCCCCAGUCUUGAUAACAUUGAGGAGUAGUGGUCGGCAUUUUAUUUAAAACAAAAAACAAAAAAACAUUAACUGAGAUUUCAUGUUUAUCUUACAGGUUGCCUUGAGAAAUGAAUAUGUUUUGGGAAAGAAGAUUCCGUUAGUGAACUGGCUUUGUCAUAAAAGCCUAUCAUGGCUACGGGUGCCGAUGUGACUCAUGACUGCAGAGGUAAACCUUGAACACCUUACCGAGGGAGCUGGUUUCCGCACUGUAAACAUUGCUCAUCUUUCACACACUUGGAAGAAAGCCAUUAUCUACAGGCCACCCUUCCAGAAAAUAAUCAGUGACGGAGUUUCGUUCUUUGCGGCUGAAGAAAACGUGAUUGUGUAUACACCCUGAGCUAAAGUGGCUGACAGCACCUCACCAGUCCUGACCUUGCCUUCUACAAAACCCCAGUGUCAUGACAGUAUUUGAUGGCCUUGAGCAUUCUAUGAACUUGAGCCCAAACCUGACUGAGCAGCCUAGAGACUCCUGAAGAACAGAAGCGGAUGCUGCAGAUAUUUCUAUUGAGCUCACUAGUGGAGUCAACCAUCUGGAAAGCAUCAAGCCUCACCCCACUGAGAUUCUGAGAUUUCAGUCCAUUAUCAUCAAGCAUGGCAGCGUCCAAGCAGGCAUCGUGCAGGAGGAACUGAGAGUUCUACAUCUUCAUCUGGAGGCUGCUAGGAGAAGACUGGCUUCCAGGCAGCUAGGAAGAAGUCAUGAUGCUGUUAUGAAGAGUUUAAUCUCAAGAGAACAGUCACUCUCCAGAGCCACAGAGGUCUCUUCCUUAUCUAAUGGCCUGGCCUUCCUAUUCGAAGGUUAUAGCAGGAAGAGCUUCAGUUGGGAAACAGCUGUUGAUAAGAUUUUCACUAGAAGGUUUUUUUGGGAGGAGAAACCCAACCCACUCACUUGAUGGGUAUACACGGUCAAUGAACACUUGGGAGUUUGCACGUGGUGGGCAAGGCGUUGAGUAUGUAAACUAAGAGGCUCAGAGCCGUGCUUCAGCCUGCUCUCAAGGACUGGGAAGACAGGAGGAGUGGCAGACAAGCCAAGGGAUGAGCUUGCAAGCAGCCAUGAUAGCAUGCCAGUGUGAGACAGUGUGAGAACAGAAGUUUGUAAUGGAAAAUGAGGCUCUUAAGCCUCGCAGUCUUAUUAGUUCCUGGUUUUUAAGUGGUGGCCCCUAAACACACAAUACAAUGACUGUCGUUCUUCUCUGACUUGUGUGUCUUUUUAAAGGACUUCUAGUACAAGGAGUAAUCAUUACCUUUAUUCUGAUCUUGGGGGAAGAUUUCCAUUUUCAUCAUGACGGUGUCAGCAAUCAUCAUUUGGUAAAUGUUCCUUAAUGAUUUAUGGGGGUUUCCCUUCCUCUGCAGAAUGGGUUUUGGAUUUUGUCAAAUUGAAAUGAUCAUGUGGGAUUUUUCUCCCUUAGC